rnacentral:rRNA from 1 species
AGAUUGAACGCUGGCGGCGUGCUUAACACAUGCAAGUCGAGCGGUAACGCGGGAGCAAUCCUGGCGACGAGCGGCGAACGGGUGAGUAAUGCUUGGGAAUCUGCCCAUUAGUGGGGAACAACCAGCCGAAAGGUUGGCUAAUACCGCAUACGCCCUACGGGGGAAAGCGGGGGAUCGAAAGACCUCGCGCUAAUGGAUGAGCCCAAGUCGGAUUAGCUUGUUGGUAGGGUAACGGCCUACCAAGGCGACAAUCCGUAGCUGGUCUGAGAGGACGACCAGCCACACUGGGACUGAGACACGGCCCAGACUCCUACGGGAGGCAGCAGUGGGGAAUAUUGGACAAUGGGGGCAACCCUGAUCCAGCGACGCCGCGUGUGUGAAGAAGGCCUGCGGGUUGUAAGCACUUUUAGUGGGGAUGAAAAGCUACGAGGUUAACACCUCUGGGUCUUGACCUAACCACAGAAAGCACCGGCUAACUCUGCGCAGCAGCCGC